rnacentral:misc_RNA from 1 species
GAUGAAGAACGUAGCGAAAUGCGAUAAGUAAUGUGAAUUGCAGAAUUCCGUGAAUCAUCGAAUCUUUGAACGCACAUUGCGCCCCCUGGCAUUCCGGGGGGCAUGCCUGUCCGAGCGUCAUUUCUGCCCUCCAGCCCGGCUGGGUGUUGGGCGCUGUCCCCCCGGGGACACGCCCCAAAGGCAGUGGCGGCGCCGCGUCGGGUCCUCGAGCGUAUGGGGCUUUGUCACCCGCUCGGGACGGACUCGUCGGCGCUGGUCUUCCUCCAGGCGACCCUUCGGGGCUCGUCUUCCUUUGGUUGACCUCGGAUCAGGUAGGGUUACCCGCUGAACUUAAGCAUAUCAAUAAGCGGAGGA